CAUACUUAAGAGGAAAACAUCCUUGGUAUGUUUACUUUAUUUGUGAUGAAUCAUCAUACAAGGACAAUUUCUUUUAGAGUAUC
rnacentral:pre_miRNA from 13 species